rnacentral:misc_RNA from 1 species
ACCGCCACCAUCACCAUCUUCAUCAGCAUCGCACCAUCUGGUGGUGCUGGUGGUGCUGUUGUGCUCGCACAGGAUCGUCGGAAACAUCGCCAAGAUAUCUUCGUUCGAGGAAGACUACCGGGCUGACAGGCCCAUGGUGCAGCGCGCCUCUUCCUCGGAUGCACCCUCCGUUCAGGGUGGCCAACAUCGAGAGUCUCGGUUUGGCCUUGGAUACCCUUCCUACCAGAAUGGAUACAACAAACUAUUCACACAGGGUUCUGCCGACUCGAACUACUCACAACCGUCAUCCGAUCUGUCGCUAGACGAGGAAAAGGAAUCGCUUCGGCGAGAAAAGGAACGUCAGGCCUUAAGCCAGUUGGAUAAAGCGAGGAGCAAACCAGUGGCGUUCGCUGUGCGAACCAACGUAGCAUACGAUGGCGCCAUCGACGACGAUUCGCCGGUGCAGGGCGGAGCAGUUUCGUUCGAGAUCCGGGAGUUCCUGCACAUCAAAGAGAAGUACGACAAUAACUGGUGGAUCGGCCGGCUGGUCAAGGAGGGCUGUGAUGUGGGCUUCAUACCCAGCCCCGCUAAGCUAGACAACAUUCGCAUGCAGAACCAAACCAGACCCUCAAGACUGUAUGGCACAAAGGGCUCGUCGAGCGGGAAUCUUGGUGCGGGCGGACAAGCAGGUGCGGAGCCAUCUCGAGGUAGCACACCCCCCACACCUGAUUCCAUGGGACCAGGACGACACGGCAAGACACCGGCGGCGGCGGCCAACAAGGAGAAGCGGAAGCCGUUCUUCAAGAAACAGGAGACGGCCAGUCCCUACGAUGUGGUGCCUUCGAUGCGUCCCGUCGUCCUAGUGGGGCCCAGUUUGAAGGGCUACGAGGUGACCGACAUGAUGCAGAAGGCCCUCUUCGACUUCCUCAAGCACCGCUUCGAGGGCCGCAUCAUCAUCACCCGGGUGAUGGCCGACAUCUCGCUGGCCAAGCGCUCCAUCAUGAACAAUCCCUCGAAGCGGGCCAUCAUGGAGCGAUCCUCCAGCCGGAGCGACUGCCUCGGCAAGGUGCAGGAGGAGAUCGAGCGCAUCUUCGAGCUGGCCCGCUCGCUCCAGCUGGUCGUGCUCGAUUGUGAUACAAUCAAUCAUCCGUCACAACUAGCGAAAACUUCAUUAGCGCCAACAAUAGUGUACUUAAAGAUUAGUAGUAGUAAGGUUUUACAGCGUUUGAUCAAAUCACGUGGCAAGUCGCAGGCGAAAAACCUCUCCGUUCAAAUGGUUGCCGCCGAGAAGCUAGCCCAAUGUCCACCGGAUAUGUUCGAUGUAAUCCUAGACGAGAAUCAGCUGGAAGACGCCUGCGAGCACAUUGCCGAGUACUUAGAGACGUACUGGAAGGCCACCCACCCGGACAUUCGAGCCGUGCCGCCCAUCGCCCGCCCCCUGCCGCAGGAGGCCUCGCCCUCCGCAGAUCCCGCGCGUCUGGGACCGACGCCUCCAGUUACACCGGGCGUUGUGCGCCUGUAAGCCGCCGCAAUCCGCGCCAAGCCCUUCUACUCGAAUUCUCACAUUCUUCCGGGUGUUUUCCUAGAUCAGCUCAACUCAACCCAAAUCAGCUCAGUUAUAAUAUUUAUAUAUGUGUACAUGUAUUCCGUUGUUGUCGAACCUUAUGUUUUCACCAUUUCAAGUUGCAAAACCAAAUCAUCCAAUCGUUUAGAUCUGGUUUAGAGGAACCUCUUACCAGCACAGCCGCCGACAACCGACCUCGGUUCGCCACCAGGAGCGCGGCGGAGGAGUGGGCGCAGGCGGC